rnacentral:RNase_P_RNA from 1 species
AAUGUAAGCCGUUCUAUCGCUGCGACUUUAUGUCGGAGAGGAAAGUCCGGGCAACACAGCGCAUCUCGCUUCCUAACGGGAAGGGAUUUAGGAAUGAAAACCUGAAUAACGGAAAGUGCUACAGAAAAUAAACCGCAUUAGCUUCGCUUCGGCGGAGACAAUGUAAGGGUGAAAACGUGAGGUAAGAGCUCACGAGCUUCUCGAGUGACCGAGAUUUUGGUAAACCCCGGGAGUUGAAAGACCAAAUAGGCUAACGCAUGUAGGGCUGCUCGUCCGAUGUUAGUGGGUAGGUCGUUAGAGAUAAAUGGCAACAUUUAUACUAGAUUAAUGAUAGAAUUCUGAUUUAUCGGAAACAGAACCCGGCUUAUAGGCUUGCAUUUUUU